AUGAUAGCAGUUGAUUGGACUCGUUUUCAGCGUAAAGUAUUAGCAAUGAUCAGCUUCUAUUUUGGAGUUUGUGGUGGUUUUCCAGAGUUCCUCACCUUUAGAAAUGCCUCCUUCUGCUCCAUGUGUUUGCUGAUGAGCGGCACCAGCUGCUCCGGCUGUCUUUCUCCUCCUGCACACCAGUCCUCCUCCCUGCGGUACUCCUGCUCUAGACUCUCCAGGACACCACACACCUGGAAACAGGCAGAGCCAGGGCCACCUGAUGGGUCCUCUGCAGGGAGUCAGCAUGAAGGAGAGACUGGAGAAAAAGACAAGGCACAGCACAUCCACUUCAUUUCCGUUAAUCCGUCGGGAGGACUUUGUGUGUGAGAGUCCCUGUUGUUGUGGUAACCUCUAAAGCUGACUGCUGUGAUGGACUGCAAACACAUCAGACUCAUCCUCGGCAUGAGGGCAGGGUCAUUUAUUCGCUGUCAUGCAGGGUUUCCCACAGGAAACCAUUUAGCUGAGCUGGUAAGCUGCUCAGAGUUUGAUGCAUUUCGUGUUGUGAUAACCUGAAGUCUGAAGAACAGCCACACAUAUUUACAUCUAUACAUCUAUAUGUAAAUUACUCAGAAAGGGCAAUGUUAUGGUAAGUCUAUAAAUACUUUCUUCUUAAAAUACUGAACAGAUAUUUUUUUAGUGUUUGUUACUGUCUUAUCUUUUUUUUAGAAAAACUGUUUAGAGAUGUUUCUAUAUUUUUUUCUGUAAAGUGGAGAAAAUCCAUAUUUUUAUGCUGUUUAGAAACCUGAUAUCUUAGCAUAGUUUUGAUGUAGAAGCCAUUUAAGAAUUCUCCUUUUUCUUACUUCUGCUGAUUGGAGUGUAUUGUUUGCAUUGUGUGUGCAAUAACCUCUAUGGCCUGUUGGAGACGCUCAUGCUCCCUUUGCAGUUGCUCAGCUUCAGACAAACAGCUGGAAUUCAACAUGCAGGACGAUAACAUGACCUCCCCCUCAGAGAUCCAACCCAGCACCUGAGACAGAUACACAGGGAUGGAGACAGGUCAGCAUCAUCACCUUUAGUCCCCACUUGGCACCUGGCACCUGUUCAUCUGUGUGUGUUACCUGUUUAACCUGGCUCUGCAGGUGUCUCAGCUGCAGAUUCUGUUCCAGGUGUGUGUGUAUGAGAUCUGCAAUCUGCUGCAGCUCCUUCUGUUUGUCCUGCAGGAGGUGCUGCAGCUCCUCCACCUGAGAGGAGAUUCCUCCUUCUGCCUCGGACAGCUCGAUACCUGACACACACACACACAUACAGAUACACACAUUUUAGACCUUCAAAGAGAGGGCGUUUUGGGUGCUAACAUCCCCACAAGUACACUAAGACAGCUGUUUGUGUAUAUCUCUGUUCACAUGUGUAUGGAUGCAUGAACCAAGGCAAGUUUUUGCUGGUGUGUGUGUGUGUGUGUCUGUGUGUCUCCAUGGCAAAUUCAAUACGCUGGUUUCUAUGGGGACCAGCUGUGUGCUUCAGAGAACAGUUUCCA
rnacentral:lncRNA from 1 species